rnacentral:rRNA from 1 species
CAGAACGAACGGUAGCGGCGUGAUUAGGCAUGCAAGUCGAACGUGAUCCUUGCUUCGGUGAGGUGAAAGUGGCGAAAGGGUGAGUAAUGCAUAGCUAACCUACCCCUGACCUUGGGAUAACCAGGAGAAAUCUUGGCUAAUACCAAAUAGGCUCGCUUGGUCGCAUGAUCGAGCGAGUAAAAGAGGCCUCUUAACAAUGCAUCUGGUUGGGGACGGGACUAUGUCCUAUCAGCUUGAUGGCGGGGUAACGGCCCACUAUGGCGAUGACGGGUAGCCGACCUGAGAGGGUGACCGGCCACACUGGGACUGAGAUACUGCCCAGACGCCUACGGGAGGCUGCAGUCGAGAAUCUUCCGCAAUGGGGGAAACCCUGACGGAGCGACGCCGCGUGCGGGAUGAAGGCCUUCGGGUUGUAAACCGCUGUCACAGGUUAAGAAAAGACUGGCGUUAACAGCGCUAGGCUUUGACAAAGGCCUGAGAGGAAGCCACGGCUAACUUCGUGCCAGCAGCCGCGGUAAGACGAAGGUGGCGACCGUUGUUCGGAAUCACUGGGCAUAAAGAGCACGUAGGCGGCAAAGUAAGUCGGGUGUGAAAUCCCUCGGCCCAACCGAGGAACUGCGCCCGAAACUACCUUGCUUGAGGAUGGAAGGGGAGCGUGGAAUUCCUGGUGGAGCGGUGAAAUGCGUUGAUAUCAGGAGGAACACCGGCGGCGAAGGCGACGCUCUGGUCCAUUUCUGACGCUGAGGUGCGAAAGCCAGGGGAGCAAACGGGAUUAGAUACCCCGGUAGUCCUGGCCGUAAACGAUGGGCACUAGGUAGGGGGGUACCCAAUGCCCUCCUGCUGGAGUUAAUAUAUUAAGUGCCCCGCCUGGGGAGUAUAGUCGCAAGGCUGAA